CGAGAUAUACGUGUACGUUUUUUGCUACUCUCAGAUGUAUGUUUUUCUUCUCUUUCAACAUAAACAUAUUCCUUAGCAAAGCACACACAAGAAAAUGCAUCAGAGAAAUGACCCAUCAUAAGAUCAAAUCGAAAUCAGAUCCAGGUGUUUCAGAGGCUGAGUGAGAGUUUUCCCGUUGAUCAACAUUUGCCGGAGUUAUCGAAGUAGCUGCAUGUAAUCCGUAGACCCGAUUUCUCCUUCUAUCUUAUUACUUUCCACAUUCCUAGAUUAUUUAUGUAUUAGGUUGUUCAGACUUGUAUUAGAGGCUCUUGACUUGUGACACCGGAUCAAUGUGGGCUAGGUAGUGGUAUUAUCUUUGGACUUCCGCAUGUUUAACUUACUGUUUUAGACCUUUAUUAUGCUAAAUUGGUAUUUAAACUGUGUUAGCUGGUAAUGAAUUUAUAAGAAAAUGGGUUGUGGUUGAUAGUUGGUCA